CCUACGGGGAGCAGCAGUCGAGAAUCGUUCACAAUGGGGGAAACCCUGAUGGUGCGACGCCGCGUGGGGGAAUGAAGGUCUUCGGAUUGUAAACCCCUGUCAUGUGGGAGCAAAUUAAAAAGAUAGUACCACAAGAGGAAGAGACGGCUAACUCUGUGCCAGCAGCCGCGGUAAUACAGAGGGCUCAAGCGUUGUUCGGAAUCACUGGGCGUAAGGCGUGCGUAGGCUGUUUCGUAAGUAGUGUGUGAAAGGCGCGGGCUCAACCCGCGGACGGCACAUGUUACUGCGAGACUAGAGUAAUGGAGGGGGAACCGGAAUUCUCGGUGUAGCAGUGAAAUGCGUAGAUAUCGAGAGGAACACUCGUGGCGAAGGCGGGUUCCUGGACAUUAACUGACGCUGAGGCACGAAGGCCAGGGGAGCGAAAGGGAUUAGAUACCCCGGUAGUC
rnacentral:rRNA from 1 species